rnacentral:miRNA from 1 species
UGGGGGCAGUGUCACACGCUGUU